UACAGAGGUCCCGAGCGUUGUUCGGAUUCACUGGGCGUAAAGGGUGCGUAGGUGGUGAGGUAAGUCGGAUGUGAAAUCUCCAAGCUCAACUUGGAAAUGGCAUUGGAAACUACCUUGCUGGAGGUUUGGAGGGGGGACUGGAAUUCUCGGUGUAGCAGUGAAAUGCGUAGAUAUCGAGAGGAACACCAGUGGCGAAGGCGGUGAGCUGGGCAGUUGCUGACACUGAGGCGCGACAGCGUGGGGAGCAAACAGG
rnacentral:rRNA from 1 species